GACGAACGCUGGCGGCGUGCCUAAUACAUGCAAGUAGAACGCUGAAGAGAUGAGCUUGCUCUUCUCGGAUGAGUCGCGAACGGGUGAGUAACGCGUAUGUAACCUGCCUGGUAGUGGGGGAUAAUCAUUGGAAACGAUAUCUAACACCGCAUAAAAUGGAUUAUCGCAGUAUAAUUCAUUGAAAGGCGCAGAUUGAGCAGUUGCAGAGGGACGUGCGGCUUAUUAGUGUGGUGGUGGGGUAACGGCUCAUCAAGGCGUUGACGGGUAGCCGGCCUGAGAGGGUGACCGGACACAGUGGGACUGAGAUACGGCCCAGACUCAUACGGGAGGCAGCAGUGGGGAAUAUUGCACAAUGGGCGGAAGCCUGAUGCAGCAACGCCGCGUGCGGGAUGAAGGCCUUCGGGUUGUAAACCGCGUGCGACUGUGACGAAGCGUGAGUGACGGUAAUGGGUAAAGAAGCACCGGCUAACUACGUG
rnacentral:rRNA from 1 species